rnacentral:rRNA from 1 species
UACGUAGGGGGCAAGCGUUGUCCGGAAUCACUGGGCGUAAAGCGCACGCAGGCGGUCAUUCACGUCCGGGGUGAAAACCCAGAGCUCAACUCUGGGACUGCCUUGGAUACGGGGUGACUUGAGGAUCGGAGAGGCAAGGGGAAUUCCACGUGUAGCGGUGAAAUGCGUAGAGAUGUGGAGGAACACCUGUGGCGAAGGCGCCUUGCUGGCCGAUUUCUGACGCUGAGGCGCGAAAGCGUGGGGAGCAAACAGG